UACGUAGGGGGCUAGCGUUGUCCGGAAUCAUUGGGCGUAAAGCGCGAGUAGGCGGCCAGAUAAGUCCGGUGUGAAAGUCACAGGCUCAACCUGUGAAUGCCGCUGGAAACUGUCUGGCUAGAGUCCGGAAGGGGCGAGUGGAAUUCCUGGUGUAGCGGUGAAAUGCGCAGAUAUCAGGAGGAACACCAAUGGCGAAGGCAGCUCGCUGGAACGGUACUGACGCUGAGGCGCGAAAGCGUGGGGAGCGAACAGG
rnacentral:rRNA from 1 species